rnacentral:rRNA from 1 species
AGAGUUGAUCCUGGCUCAGGAUGAACGCUGGCGGCGUGCUUAACACAUGCAAGUCGAACGAAGCACUUUAAUCGAUUUCUUCGGAUUGAAAUUUUAGUGACUGAGUGGCGGACGGGUGAGUAACGCGUGGGUAACCUGCCUCACACAGGGGGGAUAACAGUUGGAAACGGCUGCUAAUACCGCAUAAGCGCACAGUACCGCAUGGUACAGUGUGAAAAACUCCGGUGGUGUGAGAUGGACCCGCGUCUGAUUAGCUAGUUGGCAGGGCAACGGCCUACCAAGGCGACGAUCAGUAGCCGACCUGAGAGGGUGACCGGCCACAUUGGGACUGAGACACGGCCCAAACUCCUACGGGAGGCAGCAGUGGGGAAUAUUGCACAAUGGGGGAAACCCUGAUGCAGCGACGCCGCGUGAGCGAAGAAGUAUUUCGGUAUGUAAAGCUCUAUCAGCAGGGAAGAAGAAAUGUCGGUAACCUGACUAAAGCACCGGCUAAUACGUGCCCACCAGCCGCGGU